rnacentral:rRNA from 1 species
UACGUAGGGUGCAAGCGUUGCCCGGAUUUAUUGGGCGUAAAGGGCGCGUAGGCGGCUCGGAACGUCCGUUGUGAAAUCGCCCGGCUCAACUGGGCGGGGUCAGCGGAUACGGCCGAGCUUGAGCAAGCUAGGGGGCAAUGGAAUUCCCGGUGUAGUGGUGGAAUGCGUAGAUAUCGGGAGGAACACCAGUGGCGAAGGCGGUUGCCUGGAGCUUUGCUGACGCUGAUGCGCGAAAGCGUGGGGAGCGAUCCGG